GGUGAGUAACACGUGGAUCAUCUACCUUCUAGUGGGGAAUACCUCCGGGAAACUGGAGACAAUACCGCAUAAGCUCGUAAGAGGAAAGCAGCAAUGCGCUGGAAGAGGAGUCCGCGGCUGAUUAGCUAGUUGGCGGGGUAACGGCCCACCAAGGCGAAGAUCGGUAGCCGGCCUGAGAGGGCACACGGCCACACUGGCACUGAAACACGGGCCAGACUCCUACGGGAGGCAGCAGUGGGGAAUCUUGCACAAUGGAGGAAACUCUGAUGCAGCGACGCCGCGUGAGCGAUGAAGCCCUUCGGGGUGUAAAGCUCUUUCGACGGGAACGAUAAUGACGGUACCCGAAGAAGAAGCUGCGGCUAACUACGUGCCAGCAGCCGCGGUAAUACGUAGGCAGCAAGCGUUGUUCGGAAUUACUGGGCGUAAAGAGUGUGUAGGCGGUGUUCCAAGUCUGUUGUGAAAUCUCCCGGCUUAACUGGGAGGGUGCGGCGGAAACUGGGAUGCUAGAGGAUGGGAGAGGUAAGCGGAAUUCCUGGUGUAGCGGUGAAAUGCGUAGAUAUCAGGAGGAACACCUGUGGUGUAGACAGCUUACUGGACCAUUUCUGACGCUGAGACACGAAAGCGUGGGUAGCAAACAGGAUUAGAUACCCUGGUAGUCCACGCCCUAAACGAUGCAUACUUGGUGUGAGCGAUUCAUUUCGUUCGUGCCGGAGCUAACGCGUUAAGUAUGCCGCCUGGGGAGUACGGUCGCAAG
rnacentral:rRNA from 1 species